GAUGAACGCUGGCGGCGUGCCUAAUACAUGCAAGUCGAGCGAACGGACGAGAAGCUUGCUUUUCUGAUGUUAGCGGCGGACGGGUGAGUAACACGUGGAUAACCCACCUAUAAGACUGGGAUAACUUCGGGAAACCGGAGCUAAUACCGGAUAAUAUUUUGAACCGCAUGGUUCAAAAGUGAAAGACGGUCUUGCUGUCACUUAUAGAUGGAUCCGCGCUGCAUUAGCUAGUUGGUAAGGUAACGGCUUACCAAGGCAACGAUGCAUAGCCGACCUGAGAGGGUGAUCGGCCACACUGGAACUGAGACACGGUCCAGACUCCUACGGGAGGCAGCAGUAGGGAAUCUUCCGCAAUGGGCGAAAGCCUGACGGAGCAACGCCGCGUGAGUGAUGAAGGUCUUCGGAUCGUAAAACUCUGUUAUUAGGGAAGAACAUAUGUGUAAGUAACUGUGCACAUCUUGACGGUACCUAAUCAGAAAGCCACGGCUAACUACGUGCCAGCAGCCGCGGUAAUACGUAGGUGGCAAGCGUUAUCCGGAAUUAUUGGGCGUAAAGCGCGCGUAGGCGGUUUUUUAAGUCUGAUGUGAAAGCCCACGGCUCAACCGUGGAGGGUCAUUGGAAACUGGAAAACUUGAGUGCAGAAGAGGAAAGUGGAAUUCCAUGUGUAGCGGUGAAAUGCGCAGAGAUGUGGAGGAACACCAGUGGCGAAGGCGACUUUCUGGUCCGUAACUGACGCUGAUGUGCGAAAGCGUGGGGAUCAAACAGGAUUAGAUACCCUGGUAGUCCACGCCGUAAACGAUGAGUGCUAAGUGUUAGGGGGUUUCCGCCCCUUAGUGCUGCAGCUAACGCAUUAAGCACUCCGCCUGGGGAGUACGACCGCAAGGUUGAAACUCAAAGGAAUUGACGGGGGCCCGCACAAGCGGUGGAGCAUGUGGUUUAAUUCGAAGCAACGCGAAGAACCUUACCAAAUCUUGACAUCCUUUGACAACUCUAGAGAUAGAGCCUUCCCCUUCGGGGGACAAAGUGACAGGUGGUGCAUGGUUGUCGUCAGCUCGUGUCGUGAGAUGUUGGGUUAAGUCCCGCAACGAGCGCAACCCUUAAGCUUAGUUGCCAUCAUUAAGUUGGGCACUCUAAGUUGACUGCCGGUGACAAACCGGAGGAAGGUGGGGAUGACGUCAAAUCAUCAUGCCCCUUAUGAUUUGGGCUACACACGUGCUACAAUGGACAAUACAAAGGGCAGCGAAACCGCGAGGUCAAGCAAAUCCCAUAAAGUUGUUCUCAGUUCGGAUUGUAGUCUGCAACUCGACUACAUGAAGCUGGAAUCGCUAGUAAUCGUAGAUCAGCAUGCUACGGUGAAUACGUUCCCGGGUCU
rnacentral:rRNA from 1 species